AGAGUUUGAUUCUGGCUCAGAACGAACGCUGGCAGCGUGGAUUAGGCAUGCAAGUCGAACGGGAACUCCGGGUGUAGCAAUACAUCCGGGGGGAUAGUGGCGUAAGGGUGAGUAACGCGUGGGCAAUCUACCUUUAAGUUGGGGAUAACCUGGCGAAAGCUGGGCUAAUACCGAAUGUGGUCACCUGACGCGAGUCGGGAUGACUGAAGGCGGGGAUCUCGCAAGGGACCUGUCGCUUGAAGAGGAGCCCGCGUCCUAUCAGCUAGUUGGUGAGGUAACGGCUCACCAAGGCUAUGACGGGUAGCUGGUCUGAGAGGAUGGUCAGCCACAUUGGGACUGAGAUACUGCCCAGACUCCUACGGGAGGCUGCAGUCGAGGAUCAUUCGCAAUGCGCGAAAGCGUGACGAUGCGACGCUGCGUGGAGGAUGAAGGCCUUCGGGUCGUAAACUCCUGUCAUUCGGGAUCAAUGCCACGGAAGUGAACAAUUUCCGUGGAGGGAUAGUACCGGAAGGGGAAGUCACGGCUAACUCUGUGCCAGCAGCCGCGGUAAUACAGAGGUGGCAAGCGUUGUUCGGAUUUACUGGGCGUAAAGGGUGCGUAGGCGGUUUUGCGUGUCGGAUGUGAAAUUCUGCCGCUCAAGGGCAGAGCUGCGUUCGAAACUACAGAACUGGAGUGCAGGAGAGGAAAGCGGAAUUCUUGGUGUAGCGGUGGAAUGCGUUGAUAUCAAGAGGAACACCGGUGGCGAAGGCGGCUCUCUGGAACGCAACUGACGCUGAGGCACGAAAGUUGGGGGAGCAAACAGGAUUAGAUACCCUGGUAGUCCCAACUGUAAACGGUGCACACUGGGUGUGGGGAGAUUUGACCCUCUCCGCGCCGUAGUUAACACGAUAAGUGUGCUGCCUGGGGAGUACGGCCGCAAGGCUAAAACUCAAAGAAAUUGACGGGGGCCCGCACAAGCGGAGGAGCAUGUGGCUCAAUUCGAUGCAACGCGAAGAACCUUACCAGGGCUUGACAUGCAGCUGCAAGUCCAGCGAAAGCUGGAUUCCUUCGAGGGUGCUGCACAGGUGCUGCAUGGCUGUCGUCAGUUCGUGCCGUGAGGUGUUGGGUUAAGUCCCGCAACGAACGCAACCCUUGUGUCUAGUUGCCACCCCCGAUGAUGAGUCGGGGAGCACUCAAGACAGACUGCCCGUGUAAGCGGGAGGAAGGUGGGGAUGACGUCAAGUCAGUAUGGCCUUUAUGCCCUGGGCUGCACACGUGCUACAAUGGCUGGUACAAUGGGAAGCUCGACCGCGAGGUUAGGCGGAUCCACAAAACCAGCCCCAGUUCAGAUUGAAGGCUGCAAUUCGCCUUCAUGAAGCUGGAUUCGCUAGUAAUGGCGCAUCAGCUACGGCGCCGUGAAUACGUUCCCGGGCCUUGUACACACCGCCCGUCACAUCAUGAAAACCUUGUGCACUCAAAGGCGCUGUACCAACUCGCAUAACAGUGAGAGGAAGGCACCAAAGGUGUGUGGGGUAAUUGGGAUGAAGUCGUAACAAGGUA
rnacentral:rRNA from 1 species